ACAUAAACAUCAGAUAUCAUACAAUGACUGCAGCAAUUUUCAACAGUAAUUAAGCAGCUGUAACACAAGAUAUACUUCUCUUUCAUUAAUACAACAUUCCCGUAACAAAAGUGGUUGGACUGUUAAAACAAAUUGCAUGUCAUAACAAAUUAUCUACCAAUUUAAAAAGUAUCUGAUGCCAGUAUCAUGUCAUCACCAAUGAUUACUAAAGCUUAGAAUAGACAAUUAGCCAAUCAAUUGCUAAGUGUCAAACGAGUUUGACAAAAUUUCUGUCAAAAUAUACACCUUGAUAACCACAUUAUGGUUCCUUAACUUGUUCCACUGGCAACCAUGGCAUGCUACCAUGAUGACCACCAGUCAACAAGAAUUAUGUUUCUAUGAGAACCAUAAGACAGCUUAAAAUCAGAUAGAAAGAGCUGAACUAAGACCUAUACAUAUCACCCCUGUGAUAGCAAUAGCAAAGAAUAGAAUAAUAAUGGCCAAAUAAAACUUGAUAUGCUGAUAUCAGGAUACAUGCAUUUCAAUCACAGAACCAUAAAUAGAUACCUUCAGCGAACCAACUGUAGCAGUUUCAGGAACCUCAAUAUAGAGCUCUGGCACCUUGAAGGACUUUAUGCUAAAUUUCACUGUAAAAUGAAAUAAAACACGUCAGCGACUAUCUAUCAUGCUCAAGUUCCAAAAGCAAACAAUUAUCACUCUAUGGAGAAUAAGGGAAAAACAAGAGUAAAACGACGAUACCACUAGAAUCCUUAGAUUUUUUAUGAACUUUCACAGAUGUUGAUGACCCAUUUGCUGCGAGAAAAAAGGAAAUGAUUUAGAAACAGGACACAGCCAUAGGAACUCAAAACAGAGAUAACAUUACAAAAAGAACCUUUAUCUAAGACACCAUCUGAUCUCCUAUAUUCUCCCUUCUCAGGAGAAUUAGAAAUACUUUCACUACUAGCUUCCUGGUCAUAUGCAACUACAAAUCUACGACCACUCAAUUUCCUUCGUUUAGACGGUGCUUCAUGUUGACAUCUAUCCCUUGUGUGAAUGAAUUUUCUGUUUCGGUAAAAUGACCUCAUUCCUUCAUCUGCAAUGCAAAAAUGUUAGUUGUAAAUAUUCAGGGCAAUAAAAUAACUCUAUAAACAACCUAGAUAAAUUAGUUUUAAAAAAAAAGGCAUUCUCUAAGGACAUAAUGAAGAGCCUCCACUUACUGGUAUUUGAAACUUCAUAAUCUCUCAACUUGGGUGCAACUCUCCAGUAUUUCGAUUGCAGCAUCUUCCUAAUCCUUCGGUAGCCAUUGCGUGCUUGAGGCCUGAAGGCCCUAAACUUGGUGCUUAACUUAUUGCACCCAAAAGAAUUAUCGUCAUCAUCUCUAAUUCCUAAAUUUACAUUAUUCCUGUGCUUGGGAAAAGAAGCACUAGAAACAGGGUCCCUGUACAAGGACAACUGUACACUACCAUCUGAGUUAAUCACUGUUUUACUAUUCAUACACUUCCCGACUUGAUGCUUUACAUUGGGAGAGUUAGCCACAGUUAGUUCUUGACUCCAUUUGGUUUCAUCCCCUACUAGUCUUUUAGCUGCAGUCUCUGUUUUACCAUUGCAUAUAUUUUGUGAAGGAUGGGAGCCACCCGCUACUUUAAACUGGUUAUCCUCAUCUGCAGUUUUGUUAUUGCAGAUUCCCAACUUCAAAUCACAAUCAACUUUCUUUGAAAAAUCAGAACUUGUGAUAAUGGAAUCGUUUUCUAAAUUGGGAUGAUCCUCCACAGAAGACUUAAAAUUUUGUUCUCCUGCCACACGUUCAGGUAUAAAUGCACUUUCCACACAGCUCCCCUGAUCAAGGCACUCUGUCCUGAAAGUUUUAGUUUCUUCACUCCGUUCCUUUUUUAUGCCAUCCAUGUGACAAGGUUGAACCUUAGCUUCUGAUGCAUUACUAGAAGCAGAGCUUUCACUCUCCUGCAACAGUUUCCCAGCCACAGCAGCCAGCAAUUCAAAUGCACAAAUUUGGUGAUCUUCCACUGACUUUUUAUGCGGACCCCUCCUCUGAUAAGAUGAACCAAGAGAUGCUUAAGACCGCAAAAAACACUAAAAUUACUACAAGUAACCGUUUGACUUUUAUAAGCAGAUGCUUACUCUAACUGAUCGAGGAGCCCUAGGGAUGACAGGGAUUUGAUAGCCAUGGAAUCCAUAAUCCAACCUCUUCUUCAACACCAUAUCUCAAGAAGCAUGCCAGAAAGUCAUGAAACGCAAUGCACGAGUACUUUAAAGCAAACCUGUAUUCAGAAUACAGUUAAUCAGUCAGGCAUGUGAAAAUGCAGAAACGUGCUUUCUGACCCAUCACCAACCAGCAAUGCCCAACAUCUCGACAAUUUAUAACACCAGAGGAUUAUAUGAGCAAGUAAUUCAACUUCACACCCAAAACAAAAGUCCAAUUUCAACAAAAUCCCAGAAUAUGUUUUCGUAAGUACCAGAAACCAAGCCUCUGUAGCUGACAACUUGAUCCGGGACGUUCAUUCAAAAGCCUUUUCUUUAUAAAAAUUAAUCAAAAAAAUAGAAAGAAAGAGAGAAAGAAAACGUUAAGAACAAAACAAAGAAGGCCUUAAAAGCAAGAUAAAGACUAGGACAACUCAAAAUUCAGCCAUCACUGCGGAGUUAAAGACGUUGAAAUUAGCACCAGAUUCCAAAUUCGUCCUCCUCGAUCCGCACCCAGAUUUUUUUCAAAAGAAACUAAAGAAAAGGAGAAUUUCUCAAACACAACAAUUUCUCUUUCUCUCUGGAAUAUACCCAAAAAACUCGUGAGAAAAGGAAGUUCCUAAUUCGUGCACGGAGAUAAGAAAUGGGAAUUUCAAGAAGCAGAAGAAGAAAUGAGUAAAGUUAACAUGAUUGAAUUCCAUUUAUAUUCCUCAGAUUAAAUAAACACCAGAUCAGAUUCAAAUUCCCUAUAAAUUCAACAACCUCAAUCAAUAAACCAAAAUUCAGGAGAAUUUCCCCAAAAAGAAAACAUAAUUGCUAAAACCCUCCGCGAUCUAAUUACGUAAACUCCGAUGCUUCAUCCUAAAUCAUUCCGAGACACAUCAUGCAAAAACCCUCUAAAUUCACCGCGAUCACGCAAGAUCAAAAUCAAACAAUUCCUUCAAAGCUCACCAGAUCUCCCCACGAUCAACCUCAAUUCAACCACCAAAACUUCAAAUCCAAGCAACAAUUCAAACAAUUACCUGUGUGAUCCGACGCAAAUCAAUCAGCAACCUCCCUACGUUAUUCUGUACAAAAAAAACAGCGGGAAAAAUAAAUAAGAUCGUACUUCCGUUUUCUGGUGGUGUUUUUUUUUUGAGCUCAAAUAAUGUAAGGAGACACAAUAGCGAAAUUGAGAAACUGUUGUGUCAUGUCAGGAGAAUAGAGGGGAGAAUUGUUUGGAUGGAAAUGGAAAAACCUCUCUGGGUUUGGGGGUAAUGAAGUAGAGAAGAAAGGAAAAACCAACCAAUCAACCAACCAACCAAGAGUUUUUUAACAGAGUGCUAAAACCUCUCUCUCUCUCUCUAUCACUAACACUUAAUAAACCAUAAAUCUCUCUAUCCCCACAAAGAUAAAUACACUUAUUGACCACACAACCGGGCUAGCCGGUUCCAAUGGGAUGCGUUUUACCGGUAUUUGAAGGUCACCGGUUGGCAUGGGUUGGGACGGUUGGGCGGACCACUUCCUAACUCCUCUCUCCGUCUUUCAAAUAUUUUACCACCAUAACUAUUUUAUCCAUCCACAAGAUAGCUUUCGCCACGUGGCACGUGGCAUCGUUUCUUUCUGUCUCCGAAAUAAUUUAAUUAAAAUAAACCGCGGUUUGUCAUUUCCCCCCCCCCCCCUGAUCGGUGAUUAUGAUUGUGGUGAAGCUUAGUACUAGUAACUAGCGAUUAGCUAAUUAUAUUGGCCAUAAAAUAAUUCGAUUCCAGUAUGAUAUUUGCCGUCAGGAAUCAAUUAGCAUUAUUGGCAUUGGGAUUUGAGAAUGCGAUCAUAUAUCAUAUAAUAUAAGAGCUUCAUAUAAUUUGAUAAUAGCAGAAUUUAAAAAAGAGCACAAGCUGGGUUUGUUUGGAUACCCUAAUUAUCCCAAAUAAUAUUUCGCUUGCAUCAUAGACACAUUUUUCAACCCACCUUUUUAUAUUCCCAACCACCUUUUUAUUUCACAUACAUCAUAUCACAAAAAGUGCUACAGUAAUUAUUCCAAAUAAUAUUUCAAAUAAUACACUAUCCAAACAAACCGUGUUUUAUGUUUGAUCAAGGAAAAGUUUUAAUUCUCAGACUUUUCUAAAGGAAAUAAGGCCCUGUUUGGCAUUUGAGUUUUUUGCCAAAUUUGUCUGCUACAAGUUUUUUAAAAACAUUAGUUACAAUAAUCUCAAAAAGUUUCUCGAAAAUUUUAAAUUAUACACUUCAAAAUAUUCAAAUAUUUACACACUUCGUAAAUUUUUUAAAAAACUUCUACAGUAAAAUUUUAGAUAAACACCCAAAAAAUUCACUUGACAAACGAAGCCUAAGUUUUGGGUUUCAGCAGAAUGGAUAAAAAGAAGCGAAGUUCUAUGUGUGGUAAUACAAUUCAACUCAGAAGUAAAGAAAAGUCGAAACACAAAAUUAAAAACUUAGUAAUGGUGAUGUCACCCGAAGGGUUUAUUUGCUUUUGUGCUCACGUCACACCUUGUUCGGUUCAUAGCUUUUUUUUAAUAUAAAAUUUUUUAUAUUUUUCAUUAAUGCAUUUUCUAAUUAUUUUUUUUACUUUAUUAUACAUAUCAGAUUGUUACGGUAUAUUAGUCUAUAAAAUUUUUUUAAAAUAACAAUUUAAAUGGACUCUUAAUUGAUUGAUGCUUAAAAUGUUGGAAAUAGUGCUAACUCUUAGAAGCCACAUGUCAAUUAUUAGUGUAACAAGAAGUCCAAAACAAAGGCAUACUUCUUCUUGUUAAAUUUCCGUUAAGUCAAAUGAAUUGCUUUUUGUCCGUUGCGCAUUUAUUCUUUCUUUGAGCAGUUUUCCUUUGAUUUAUUCGGAAACCAAAAUGUUGCUUUACGCUUUCAGAGCUACAUUACCUGAUUUACUUCCAUAAAAACUAACAAGGUGCAUAUGUUUAUGUUACCAUGAUUAAUUCUUUGAGCGAAUAACUUUUUUUUUUUUUCACCUCAAAUGUUUCUGCACCCCUACAUCCUGCACGAAAUCGUACUACAUUGGAAAAGCUUCUUUCAUAAUGAGCAAUCAAAUUGCCACUCUUUUCCCUAGAUUGAUCUACGUACGAAUAAUGACAUCCAACAAAGCAUUGGACUUGGAUCAGCUUCUUCUAUGUGGCUUUAACCUUCCCAAACAAAUUUUUUUUUUUGGUAACUGUUAGCUUCAGGGCAAAAAAAGAUUCUUAUUAUAAAUCUUCAAAAAAUGUUUUAGAUGGCAUCCAAAUAAGGGAAAGACAAGUCAUCAUCUAAAUGGACAGGAGAAGAGCUGCAUAGCACCACGGUUCUCGGUUACGUCAAUUAAUUUGCAAGGGGUUGAGAUGUACCUUGGCUUGGCAUCUAAUUAUCCUUGGUUUUUUAAGAGGUUACAAAACACGGCAAGUAUUUGAAAAAUUCUAAUGUCAACUCCAAGGACGACUGGAUGGAUAACCAUCCAUAUUAUGGUCUUCAGUGGGCCGAGAAGACGAUGGGCCUUUUUGCAUUGGAUAGGGGUUCGGCUAUUAUCAAAUGGGCAAAUUCCACAGCGGUAGUAGUAGAUGUCAAAAAAUGGAUUACUUGCAGAUUUAAUAAUUGAAGAUUGCAUUUCAGGGUCAAGCUUAUUUCAAGGCGGCGUAUGUGCUUUUGACCAGGAUGAUUGAUCUCCCGUUCUCUUUGGAUAUGUCAAAACGAAACAUACGAGCAAGGGGGGAAAAAACACGCCGCUUACACUUUGCCAAGGAUAACUAACGAGAAAACGUACUCAUCAACGUACGCGGAACCAAAAAUAUAUAUAUUUUAAAGGAUCAAAUUUUAAUAUGUAGUAAUCUUUCCUAACUAGAAAAGUAGGGAAUGUCUGGCUGGUCAAGGAGCUUUUUUUGAAUGCAUGGUCCUUGUGUUUUCAGAACAUGGAGGUUUGGAUUAAAAAAAAAAAAAAUCGAAAGCCCCCUCGUUUCAAAAAACGCAGGGUCCCUUUUUGCACAAUAGUCCCUGCCACCCCAUGCAGGGGUCAAUUAGCAAAAGAUAAUCGUUUAGCGAAAGACAGUUAUUUAGUAAAAGACAAUUGUAGAAAUUGCUUCAAAAACAUGAUUGAUAGGCCCUCGUUAAUUUUUUCUUUGACCCUCACUAUCCCUUGUUUGCUCUUAUCUCGAGGCGUCGUGGAGCAGCAAAGAAGAAGGAAGCCUAAGAAACUUGUUAGGCUUCGUUGCUAGCAGGAGGAAGGAUGCACUGAAAGGAUAAAAGUUACUACAGUCGUUCUAGAUCAAAACGAAAAAGGUUUUGAGGUUACGUACUGCACUGUUUAGAUAUAUAUGUACGACACGUACAUGUGCAUUGAAUAAAAAAGAUAUUCAAACGUUAACAACGUGCAGCAACCCCUUGCAGAACGUUUAACAUUUUAGCAAGAAGCAGUCAAAGCAAUAAUAUCAUGCUGAUGAAAUAUUACAUGCUGCAGGCUGCAGGCAAAAAGUAAUAAAGAAAGAAUGAGUCAGGUAAAAAAUCGGUCCAUUCCAUUAACGCUUCUCUUCGUUAGGUUUGGUAUGGUAAGUUGGUAACUGGUAACUGGUAACUGGUAACUGGUAAGGGAGGGAGAGAAGGCAGCAGCCUAAGCCACCCCUUCACUUCACGAGGAAUGGAUAUUGAAUUGAAACCAGCGGUCAAAAGAGUUACUUGUCGUGACCGAAACAGUAAUGUAGGAGGAGAAGCUAAAGUGAGUAAAGGGCUUUAAAAAAAAAAUAAUAAAAACUAUAUAUAUUUUUUAGGAGGAGAAGCCGAAUGAGGAAAGUAACAAGUCAAGACGCGUACCCAAAAAAAUGAAGUGUGAAGUUCAUGGAAUGGAACAGUGUUGAAUUGUUAUGGCAUGGCCGGACCAGACGGUUGGUUGGCGAUGACUUCAAACUUAGGACUAUAUUAAGACCUCUAAAAAAAAAUGCAUUAGCAAAUAAUUAAAUCAUAUAAAAUACAAUACUGAUUAAUCUUCUAUAUACUACUGAUAUAUACACUUUCACUAUUAGAUGCAUAAUACGUAAUUUAAAUUUAAAUUUAAAAUUCAAAUUUCACAUAUGUAUUGUAAAUCAGACCAUGAUGAUGUAUACACCGUCAAUAUACAUAAAAUCUACUCAUAAAAUACAUUAUAGUUUCUUUUUUCCCUUUCCCUGAAUUAGCAAUUGUCACCCUUGUGUGUUUUUUUAUUUUUUUUUUGACAGUAUCCUAUUUCUAUUUCCAUAAUCUUAAUACUAUCGUGUACCAUCGGAUAACGAUCAAAAUGAAUGCUUCAGCUCUUUUCCUAGGUAGGUAUUAUCAUUAACAAAUGAACAAAGAAUUUCGUAGCACACUUUAUUUAUUUAUUGGAAUCGGAUUUGGGAUCGCACACAAAAGAAAAAUGACAAAAAAAAAAAAAGGAUACCGCCUUAAACAGUGACGAAGGAAUAUGACAAGGCUUUCGUUUCGUUCCAGGAGAGGAGGAUCAGGACAUUAGUAUAUUCCCUAACAGCUUGCUUGCAAAUUGGGUGGAAAGAGGAAAUUUGGACAGGUGGAAAUAUGACUGUCCAUGUUCUCCUAACUCUCAGGAUUCGAAUGACGUCAUCUAUCGGGAUGAUGGAUGAUGGAGGCUGGCUGAGGAGCCAAGAGAUUUUGACGGCGUCAGUUACAGAAGGACUAAUGGAGCCCAUCCGCAUGAAGCCACCGAAAUAUGAGUGGCCUCAACACGUUCGUGCAUUGUUAUCUGUUUGCCAUAAAAAAGGUGUCGGGUGUCGACGUUACUCUAGGAACCCGACACCGGCGCUUCCGGUGGCAACUGGGCAGACAUUUUAAUUCAAACCCAGAGCCAGAGGGGAUGUCUUUAAUGGAAAAGAUGGGCUUGCGACAUUGGGAUUUGGGAGCCACGUAAUUCAUUGGGUCAAUAUGCCCAACUACCCCGUAUGCAGGCAGGGGACAAUUUUGGGAGGACGAAGGUCUAAUUAAUUUAUCACAUUUUUUUUUUCGUCGAGAAGGAAAAUUGUUUGGUAAAACCUGUCUACCUAAUGAUCAAAAUUCAAAAGCAUAAACACCUUUUUUCUGCCCAUAUAAUUUGACAUUUACCAGAUGUUUAUCCAUCCAAUGAGGACGGAUGGAUCUCAAUUUUGGUCUAGAACUAGGAAUUUUUAUUUAAUUUUUUUUAGGGGAUUGCACCAUGUGGUCCUAUGGAUAUAUAAAGUUAGAGGGAUGGCACCUGAUGUAAACAAUUUUUAACUUUAAUACCCUCAUAAAAAGAUUAAUUUUUUCCUUAUCACCCAAUCAUAUUUUGCCAUUAUUCAUAACUAUCCUAAUCUAACUAUCAAAUUACUAUAACUUUAUAAACCUAAAUUAUUGAAUGGAAAUCUAUAUCAAUUUGAUAUAUGUAAAAGACAAAUUUUGUAUGAUAUUAAAUUAUUUUUAAAGACAAAUGGUUUAACCACUUCGACUGUAACAAAUGCUAACAAUACAAUAACAUGAUACUUGGCGCCAGCGGUCCGACCCUUACCACUUUGGUUGAUUUUUUGAUCAAUUCCUAAUCUUUCGAUGCUCUGUCUAUUCACCAGAAUUGUCUCUUGAAUCCGUUUGCAACAACAUUUAACCCAAACAUAAAUUCAGCAAGGUGUUAACGACCCAGGCAAUAAAGCGCAUGUCAUGCAGGAUUCUAGCAGAGGUGACGACUAAUGAAAAAGGUUUUCAAGUAAUUUUUUUUUUUUUUUCAACACAGGGGUGUCCGAGUCAAUCCUUACGGGGCCCGACUAAUCCCCUGCGGUCCGGGCCCGGCGUCCCAACCCGACCCGACCCGAACACGUUAAGUGCGCGGAAGAAUCCAGCGGAGCGGAGACUCGAACUUGUGAUCUCAAGGUUCACUGGUGAGAGGCGCUGCCGCUGGACCAUUCACGCGGGGGCUUUCAAGUAAUUACUCUCUUCAAACUCGUCCAUUUCACUCGUCAUUUGGGUUUGGUAUUUUAAAUGGGACUCACCGUGAUGGGUUGUGUCGUUGGUCCGAUUGCAAUUCCAGUAUCACUGCAUUCGGCAAUUGAUAUGGGCUCGCAAUCUCAUGCACACCUAUAAUUCUUCACUGUUUUUGUACCGGUUCCAUUGUGAAAACUUUAGAGUACACCAAGGUAGUCAUUGCUCUCUUACGGAGCCUGAUCGAAAUGGAGUGUCCAUGGAAUAAUAUAUGUAGUGAUGUAAUAUAUGUGAAAUGAUAAGAUAAUUAAACAUUUAUCAUGUAAAUAUUUUAAAAUUUUUCCUUAGGAAACUCGCAAUCCAAAAGGAAACCGUUCGUUCGAGCAUGUUGCUUGAAGGAAUUUGUUAUACUCUUCCGAGAAUUUGCUAGCAUCGGACUUUACAAGAUGUAGCCCAUUAGACAGCCUCUUCAAGAAUAAGAGCACAGCCCCUUUGAUAGUCAUAUUGAUUGACAUGUGAUGUGGGAGAGAAAAAUUAUACUGAAGGCAAAGGAUAAUGAAAAAGGAAAAUCCCGUCGGACACUUUUUUUUUCCCCCUCACAUCCAUCUGUCAGAUAUACUGAUAUAGGAGUCCAACCUUACGCUCUUUCCACCUUCAGUUGUGAUACACAGGAUUCAAAUACUAAAUCUGAUAAUAGAAAGAUUCUAAUAGCUCAUUUUUUACAACUAGAUUGACCUCAAUGAUUCAAUUCCGUCUUACACAUGGCCAAUCAAAACUUGAAAAUAUAAAAUCUAUAGACGGGAAAGAUUCUAACAACUCUUUUUUGACUGCUGCAUCGAACUCACUGAUUCAAUUCCAUCUCACACUUAGCCAAGCAAAACUUGGAAAUAUACAACUUAUAUUUUUUCCGGACAUUAUAAAUUCUAUUCUACAUUAAGGGAAAGGGGUGGAUUCAAGGGGGUCAAUAGAGAAUUCGGAAGGGAUUGAACAACUACUGAAUCAAAUGGGUGCCUUUGCACCCGCAGAUGAAAUUUUCAGAAAAUCCUGAAUAAAAAUGCUGGUCAAGAAAUUCGAGAUAUUUAAAACUCUCCCUUGUGACCAACUACUCUAGAAGUAGUUGGUUUGGAAAUAUAAAACCUAUAGAUGGACAAAGUACCCUGCAGUUGAUGGUCCACACACAAACAAAUGAUAGGAAUAAAAGAUGAAGGUGUUUCGAUGCUUGAUCCACCACCAAGAAGGGGUAGGCUCGGUGUAGUUGGCGUAUUCAGAGACUAAAGAGUUUUGUCACACCACACUCCUCCUCGAGCGGGGGCCCAAAAAAAAAGGAAAAAAAAAUGUUUCCUUCUAAUGCUUUGAGCUUGAGAAGCAACUUGCACCUUCUGGGAUAUAAAAUUUAAGUAGAAAACUAUGAAGGCAGCAGAACUGUCACCUAAACCAGAGAGGGAAGGGCCCAACCAAUCACAGUGUCGCAAGAGAAUUCUUGAAGGUAGUUAAGUUAGUUAAGCAAGGGACAACUAAAAUGCGUUAGAAAGUAGCUAUCAGUGUGAGGCAGCAUAAAUUGUGGUCGAUCACUGGAAUCAUUCGCCCCAAUUUUUUUGUUUUUUUUUUGAGCUUUUGGCCCGGCACCAAAAAUUGGGGGCCAAUUGGCACAGUAGAGAGGACUGUUCUGGCGGUGGACCUGCUAAUUUGUAAGAUUAUUAACUUUGCAUGUGAGAACAAAUGAAGAUUUUAAGAUAUGAUUCUACUUGGUUGGUUAUAACCUAAAAGUUUCUCUGGUCGAAUUGCGUAAAGCCACAAUGAACCAAUUCAAGACUCACAACUUUAGUUAAAGAGAAGACAAGAUUUUUUUUUUGGGAAUUAAGAGAAGACAAGACUUUGUAAAAGGUUGCCCUGCCCACUUGCGAGGCCACUGAUGGAAGAAGUAGCUCAUGUUGAUUACAAGAAACCAUGCUUGAGAACGAGAAGCUAAUUAAAUGCACUUUUAUCAAAACAUUAACAUCUGAGAUCCCUCUUAACAAGUGUUCCGAGAUACUUGUUAGCCUAGCCGACAAAUAAACAUUGUACAUUAACCUGUAGAGUAAUCCUUCACGAACAGCCACAAUCAAAGCACAUAAACUAUCAGAACGAGCUGCUUAAUUACCUUUUGCUUGUCUAUUAGCACAAAUUGUGGUCGGGGAUAUUAUAUACAUUCAUGCUAUUAUGAGUGCUUUGUAAGUUACAACCAAAUGAUUCCGGGUCAGAAUGCAAGCAAUACGAAUUUCUUCAUGCUUGGACACAUUUACUAACUGAUGAAUGUCACUGCACUCUUUGUACUCAGCUCAUACCGUUUACUCCUUGUUUCUUGACGUUUUUCGCCUGCAAUUUCAUAAUUGGUUGUCUUUUUCUUGUUGUAUUUCGUGUAGGGCAACACAGCUAUAGGUAACGGGAUAUACACAAAUGCAGGAAACAAUGGCUGGAGAGAGCAAAAAGUGGAUGACUGGGAAAGCAAAGUGUUGCCUUCUUGGUGGCACACGAACAGUCUCCUCCUGCUUUUAUGUGCCCUAGUCCUGGGAGCAGGAAAGAGCAGAUCUUCAGACAGAAGUAACACUAUGAUUAUAUUUGAUAUGUGAAGUUAAUCAGUUAUAGAAAUGUAGUGAUUCAUUUCGAGCUAAAGAAACGGUACGGUGAAACCAAUAAGCUUAAACUAAAAAACUUCUCACAGUUUCUUGGAUUUCUUCCGUGUAAUUUAUUAUAUAGUUUAAGAAGAUUUUUAUUUUCCCUCUGUUUUUCCCUGUUAAAACAAAGGUCGCUGCAUAUCAUUUGUACCCCCAACUGAUGACGUGUGGAAGAAGCAUCGUGACAAUUGUUUAUGUCCUAAAUUUAUAAAUAACUCACACGUAAUUAGCACACAACUAAUUAGAGAACAUUUAAGCUCACAAGUGAAAAAUUAAAAGGUGGAUGGUUAUGCAAUCGGCAACAUCAUUAUGCUAAUCAAGAAAGGUAAUGCACUAAGUUUAAUUAGAAACAAAACCAUCCACCAACUUCUUCAUCAUCAUCAUUACGAAGUACCAAAAGCGUGGUGAGUAUAAUCCAAUAGAAAACAAGUUAGUAAUUGUUGUGUGGAUUGUGGUUACAAGAAACUGCGAGAGUUACUUCCUAAUCGUGAAUAUAGGAACGUUCUGACAAGCCAAAACUCGACAAGUUUGUGAAGGACGUGUUUAUCAAGUGAAAUCUGCACGAGAUUAUAAAACGCUAGAGUUCAUGUGGUCCUGAAGAAAGCACUCACGGCGGAUAUCAAUUUAGUUCUCCUCCCAUAUAAAUUAAGCUAAAUACAACGUUUGAGUUGGUGCAAAAAAUUAAUAAAAUUGAGAACGUUUUUAGGCAAGAUAAUGCUUAAUGCAGAUAAAAGUACAAAACGUAAAUGAUUCAGAAGAAAUAAAGGCACUAUAAUUCGACAAGAAAUUAUAAUACAGAGAAAAAGAAAUACUCAACAUCUGUAUAUCAUAGUAGGAAGAUUAGUUGGUAUACAUUAUCAGUUCGUACUCU
rnacentral:lncRNA from 1 species